UACGUAGGGUGCGAGCGUUAAUCGGAUUUACUGGGCGUAAAGCGUGCGCAGGCGGUUUGUUAAGACAGGUGUGAAAUCCCUGGGCUCAACCUAGGAAUUGCGCUUGUGACUGGCGGGCUCGAGUACGGUAGAGGGGGGUGGAAUUCCUGGUGUAGCAGUGAAAUGCGUAGAGAUCAGGAGGAACACCGAUGGCGAAGGCAGCCCCCUGGGCCUGUACUGACGCUCAUGCACGAAAGCGUGGGGAGCAAACAGG
rnacentral:rRNA from 1 species